rnacentral:rRNA from 1 species
AUGAAACGACCAAUGAGCACUCGACCAAUGACCAAACCCACCCAUGCGCUGGAUGAUGAGGACAUCAAUACAAAUGUUACACCCACAGCUCCUGCUGCUAUACAUACUGGACCAAUUACUAGAGCUCGCGCACGCCAACUAAAUUACCAGGUACUUUCGUUUCUUGGUAAUGAUUCUAAUGUUCAUGAGAAUAUGAUGCUGCCUAAAUUGGAUACAUUUGUUUUGCUUAUAAAUGAAGGGCCUAGCUUGGAGAAGGAUGAACAUUGGAGCAAGAACAAGCAUGGAGAUGAUGGCAUGCGCAAGGGGAACAAGAACGGAGUUACAAGUGAUGAUUUCAGGACUUUGAAGCCACCAUAA